rnacentral:rRNA from 1 species
AAUUUUUGACAAUGGGGGGAACCCUGAUCCAGCCAUCCCGCGUGUGCGAUGAAGGNCUNNGGGUUNUNAAGCACUUUGGGCCGNNNNNAAAAGGCUCUGGUUAAUACCCGGAGCUGCUGACGGUACCUGCAGAAUAAGCACCGGCUAACUACGUGCCAGCAGCCGCGGUAAUCCGUAGGGUGAAAGCGUUAAUCGGAAUUACUGGGCGUAAAGCGUGCGCAGGCGGUUUGGCAAGAAGGAUGUGAAAUCCAAGGGCUUAACCUUGGAACUGCAUUCUUAACUGACAGGCUAGAGUAUGUCAGAGGGGGGUAGAAUUCCGCGUGUAGCAGUGAAAUGCGUAGAGAUGCGGAGGAAUACCGAUGGCGAAGGCAGCCCCCUGGGAUAAUACUGACGCUCAUGCACGAAAGCGUGGGGAGCAAAC